CUUGGUGGUUGUAGAGUGAAGGGUACACCUCUUCCCAUUCCGAACAGAGUAGUUAAGCUUCACUUCUCCGAUGGUACUGCUUGGGCAGCCUUGUGGGAGAGUAGGUCGCUGCCAAGC
rnacentral:rRNA from 1 species